GCUUGAAUAGCUCAGUCAGUAGAGCAUGAAGACUCUUAAUCUCAGGGUUGUGGGUUUGAGCCCCACGUUGAGCC